UACAGAGGUGGCAAGCGUUGUUCGGAUUUACUGGGCGUCAAGGGCGCGUAUGCGGCCUGCUAAGUCGCACGUGAAAUCCCCGGGCUCAACCCGGGAACUGCGUCCGAUACUGGCUGGCUUGAAUCCGGGAGAGGGAUGCGGAAUUCCAGGUGUAGCGGUGAAAUGCGUAGAUAUCUGGAGGAACACCGGUGGCGAAGGCGGCAUCCUGGACCGGCAUUGACGCUGAGGCGCGAAAGCCAGGGGAGCAAACGGG
rnacentral:rRNA from 1 species